GAUGAAGAACGUAGCGAAAUGCGAUAAGUAAUGUGAAUUGCAGAAUUCAGUGAAUCAUCGAAUCUUUGAACGCACCUUGCGCCCCUUGGUAUUCCGAGGAGCAUGCCUGUUUGAGUGUCAUGAAACCCUCAAACCCAAGUUUUGGAUUUCGAUCCAUGCUUGAGUUUGGAUUUGGAUGUUUGCCGGUGAUGAACCGACUCAUCUUAAAAGUAUUAGCUUGGAUCUGUCUAUAUGACUGGUUUGACUUGGCAUAAUAAGUAUUUUGCUGAGGACAUCUUCGGAUGGCCAGGACCUAGACUACUGUCUGCUAACUAAACCAUCACUUUAAGUGCAUCUUUGGAUGUUACUCAUUGUGUAACUUUGACAUCUGGCCUCAAAUCAAGUAGGACUACCCGCUGAACUUAAGCAUAUCAAUAAGCGGAGGA
rnacentral:misc_RNA from 1 species